UAACCCGUGGCUAGGCGAGUGGGGCGGGGCGGCCGGCACCAUGUCGAGGCAGGCGAACCGUGGCACCGAGAGCAAGAAAAUGGUGGCGUUCAAGAUGUACUUGGGCAUCACUCCAAGCAUUACUAAUUGGAGCCCAGCUGGUGAUGAAUUCUCCCUCAUUUUGGAAAAUAACCCCUUGGUGGACUUUGUGGAACUUCCUGAUAACCACUCAUCCCUUAUUUAUUCCAAUCUCUUGUGUGGGGUGUUGCGGGGAGCUUUGGAGAUGGUGAGUGCAACUCUUUAUCUUCUGGGACACCCGAAAUGCAAUAGGGACUUGAUAAGUGUUUAAAUGAAUGAAAGAGAGAAAAGAAAGGGCUUUGGCUCACCCCAGCGCUUUACUGCCUGAGAUGGUGAUGCUGCUGAGGUAGGAUCCAAGUCGGACAUCUUUACAUGGUGAUACUCCUCCAUACCAGGCUGGUGGAAGGUGGUGCUGUCAGUCCCCAAAGCCCAGGAACAUCCAUUCUCAGAUAGGCUUAUUUGGUGACAGUCUCAUUCUUGGGUAUUCUUUGCUAAGUUUCUCCUUAAGGGUUGGAGCCAUUGUCUUAUGCAACAGAAUGUUGGCGCUGUCAAUCUUGUCCUUGUGGGAAACCAGCCCCCCUUUUUUGGAUGCUGUGGAUGAGUCAGUUAUGCCCCAUCCCCACUGGUUCCCUAGAGGCUGUGGCCAGGCAGCUACCCCUUCGUUUUCCCACUGUCCCCCAGGUCCAGAUGGCUGUGGAGGCCAAGUUUGUCCAGGACACCCUGAAAGGAGACGGUGUGACAGAAAUCCGGAUGAGAUUCAUCAGGCGGAUUGAGGACAAUCUUCCAGCUGGAGAGGAAUAACCAUCCCUACAACUCGAGGAUAGCCAUCAGGAGCACUGUUGGAAUCAGCAGGCCUCUGUGCUCCCUCUGCCCUCCAGAACUCAGUGACUCUUGAACAUGGAUGUUAUAUAUUCUUAUAACCUGUUUCCAUUCUCCAUUCAAAUAAAGAG
rnacentral:lncRNA from 1 species